GAUGAACGCUGGCGGCGUGCCUAAUACAUGAAAGUCGAGCGAACGGACGAGAAGCUUGCUUCUCUGAUGUUAGCGGCGGACGGGUGAGUAACACGUGGAUAACCUACCUAUAAGACUGGGAUAACUUCGGGAAACCGGAGCUAAUACCGGAUAAUAUUUUGAACCGCAUGGUUCAAAAGUGAAAAACGGUCUUGCUGUCACUUAUAGAUGGAUCCGCGCUGCAUUAGCUAGUUGGUAAGGUAACGGCUUACCAAGGCAACGAUGCAUAGCCGACCUGAGAGGGUGAUCGGCCACACUGGAACUGAGACACGGUCCAGACUCCUACGGGAGGCAGCAGUAGGGAAUCUUCCGCAAUGGGCGAAAGCCUGACGGAGCAACGCCGCGUGAGUGAUGAAGGUCUUCGGAUCGUAAAACUCUGUUAUUAGGGAAGAACAUAUGUGUAAGUAACUGUGCACAUCUUGACGGUACCUAAUCAGAAAGCCACGGCUAACUACGUG
rnacentral:rRNA from 1 species